rnacentral:rRNA from 1 species
CCUACGGGUGGCUGCAGUGGGGAAUUUUAGAUAAUGGAGGGAACUCUGAUCUAGCGACGCCGCGUGCAGGAAGAAGGUCUUCGGAUUGUAAACUGCUGUGGUAAGGGAAAAAUGCUAUGUAGAGUGGAAAGCUACAUAGAGGGAUGGUACCUUACUAGAAAGCCCCGGCUAACUACGUGCCAGCAGCCGCGGUAAUACGUAGGGGGCGAGCGUUACCCGGAAUCACUGGGCGUAAAGGGAGCGUAGGUGGCCUAACAUGUCAACUGUGAAAACCCGGAGCUCAACUCCGGACUUGCAGUUGAAACUGGUAGGCUUGAGGACGGUAGAGGAAGACGGAACUGCCAGUGUAGGGGUAAAAUCCUUAGAUAUUGGCAGGAACGCCGGUGACGAAGGUGGUUUUCUGGGCCGGUUCUGACACUGAUGCUCGAAAGCCAGGGGAGCGAACGGGCUUAGAUACCCCAGUAGUC